GCAGGCUCAUGUUGGUGCCGAUUUUCUGUCUUCUUCAUAGCCAUAAAACUCCCUUAGGAGAAGAGAUUUAUGGCAGCCCUCAGUUUUUAGAAGUUUCUGCUCUUAGUCAGAGAAAGAAUCUCCAAGAAGGCUUCUUUCUGUAUCUGUUGAUUCUCAAUGGCCUUACCUCAAAAUAAUCCAUAUGGCAUAUUUUGGGUGGUGCAUUCUAAUCCCCUUCAAUAAACUGCCAAUUACUCUAUUUCUUUUUUAACAUUCCUGGAUACUCCUACAUGUUUAUGAAUUUUAGAAUUAGUUUUUAAGAUUAAAAGAAUUUCCAGAACUAAAAGAAACAACUGGGUUCAAGCAGAACAAGAAUUAAUAACCUGGGACUGAAUAAGCUGAGAAGGAUAGUUAUAAUUUUUACGACUUCUUGUUUGAAACAUUUCUGGUUCUUUAGUGUUUUGUUUUUCCAGAUUUAAGGAAACUUCUUCUCUUAAGCUACCUAUGAUUUACAAUUGGUAAAGUAUACCUUUGUAAACAAAGAGGAAACAUUUACUUUUUCUCCCUGUAUGAUCCCUCCAGAAUUUAGAAACUCAAGUGUUCUUUUCAUGGCAAUACAGUAAGUUACUUGCAUAAUUUCAAGAAGAAUCUGUUCUCCUUCUAACAGGGUACAAUUGAAAACAUUGGCUAUGUUACCAAGGCUUUGACUGGAAUGUCAUAGUUGAGAGAGAGAUGCAUAGAUUCAGACAUGACCAGACAGCCGUAAGGAACUGCUUGAAACUUGGCUUGGCUUCCUGGCCUCAGAGGCUUUGAAAGAGUCAAAUCUGAGAUUCCUUAUAAAAAGUUCCAGCAAAGCAGUCUUAAAAGAGCUUAUGUGGUCAAUCACCAUUCUUGCUACACUCAUGUAAAUAAUCAGGCCAAGUUUAAUACAAACAAAUUAGUUUUACUCUGAUUAUCUUUGGUAAAAAAUGGGGUAAUUGUAGAGAGAAAAAUUAUGUUUGCACCUUUGUAGAUAUUUAGAUUCUAACCCUGUUAAUCGUCUUUGAGGUUUUGUUAUAUACCUGUAAACUGAACUGGAUCCUAAAUUCUUCCAAUUUUCUCAAAUAUCUGGCUACCACUCUCCAACCUAAUGUUUCCUAUUUCCUCCCAUCCUUCUGAUUUGGAAGCACUGAGACCAAAGACUGUCCUUGACUCUCCCUGGGAAGGACUAUACUAGGUCUUCCUCCCGACCCAGACGGCAGCCAAACCUCCAGGACUUAAACGUUGGCUACACAUCUCACAGUGGAAGAAAGCUCCUCCUGACCUCUGGUCCUUUACAAACACUGAAGACCUCUGAAUCACACUGAUGAGCAGGAGAAGCAGCUGACAUUGACGUAGACCGCUUCCACCCAAGACACCAGAUCAAGAUUUCCCAUUGUAACUGAACAUGAAACACUGUCUUCCGCUCUUUCUUUCCUUUACUCUGGCAUUGGCCUGGCAAGAUAAUGCCACCAUCAUAUCUCCCAAGCCAUUACUAAGGGAGAGCAACCUUUCAGACAGCUGGAUUCAUCAUCAAAAACUCCAAUCUGUUCAUGAUGCUGGAACCCAUGAACAACGCCACCUGAGCAGUAAUGGUUUAUGCCCCAACAGGAUUUAAUUUCAUCGGUGGUGGUGAUCAUUCUCCUUGGACCUAUAAAUGCUUAGAUGGCUAACACAUAACUGGGCAAUGCCCCUUAGGUUAUCUAACUGUGCCACUCAACUGUUCUCAAAUAGGCUAAGACACUUCAUUGGUCAACUCCCCUAAUCAUCCAAUUCGAAAAGACCUGCCAGGAGGCCUUCAUGAUUCAGGAUGUGCUUCUUUCGGCAGGUCCCUACUUCCUUUGUUAGGAGUGAGUACAAAUGAGGCUGUGAUCAGAAAUCCCUCCUUAACUCUUGAAAGUAUUGCAGAAUUCGCUGCUAAAGCAAUAGCUGCCCAAUGAAAAUCUCUAGACUCUCAGCUCAAAGUAGUUCUUGAUAAUAUGACAGCCCUUGAUCAUUUGUUAGCUGAGCAAGGAUGUGUCUGUGCUGUGGCCACCACCCGCUGCACCUGGAUUAACACUUCUGGGGAAGCUGAAAUUUAGUUACAUAAAAUCACUGAGUACGCCACUUGGCUUAAAAAGGUGACUCCUUCAACAGAGUAUUUCUUUCACUUAUUGGAUUUUGAUUGGUUUGGGUCUUGGGGACCAUGGCUCUGAAGUGCACUCCAGACAUGGGAAUGAUCCUACCAGUAACAGUCAUAGUAAUCUCCCUGAUGCACUGUAUUCUCUCCAAAGCUUUAAAUGCGUGUUUGCAGCUGCUAACCAUCAAGCAAAUGAAUGUGAAGUCGUGACCUGUGAAUACCACAGGAUUCAGCAGAAAACCUCAUGACCUGUGACUAUAACACGGAGAAACAGUAAAAGCUGCGAGACCAACAGAGCGGUAGCUGAGAGUGGCACUAAUGCCUUAAAUUUUGAUCACAUCUUUCAAGUUAUGCUAAGAGUCUCACGCAAAGGGGGAGAACUGUUAAAAAAGAAAAAACAGGAACAAAAUGGUGUCACUUGUGCUAAGUCCCACAUCAAUAAAUCAAGACUUAAUUGCACUUUCAGUCUCUCACAGGAAUGUGACCUUUAACUAGUCAAUCUGGAAUUACCUGGUCGGCAUGAGUGAGUAAUCUGCCUCAUAGAUCCCCACACUACUCUUCCCCAAAGGAAGGUGAUCUUGCCCGAAUCUGCUCUUUGCUAGAAACUUCCUUUAUUCUGUCCCUUCUGCCCAUAACAGCCUUCCACUUUGCAUAGCUCCUUGGACCUCCCUUCUAUUUGCUAGCUGGGAUGCUGCUCAAUUCAUGAAUUGUUGAAUAGAGCCAAUUCGAUCUUCAAAUUUACUCAGUUGGCUUUUGCUUUAAACACCUUAGCAUAAUCAUCCUCUGAAAAUAAUGCUAAUUUUGUCUUUUCUCUAUUACUAUAUUUCUUUCUUUCUCUUAUCUGGGGGACAAAGAGAUUAAUUAGAACACUAAGGUUCCUUAGAGGAUGUAAGACUUCGGUGAAUCUUGCAGGAAUAGCAGCAUUUGGACUGGCUAAGAGGGAGGAUGACAGAAAUAUAGCCACGCAUUGCUCAAUGAUGGGGAUACAUUCUGAGAAAUGUGUUAGGCAGUUUCAUCAUUGAGCGUACUUACACAAUUCAUCAUAGAGUGUACUCACACGAACCUAGAUGGUAUAGACUACUACACACCUAGGACAUAUGGUACUAAUCUUACGGGACCACCCUCCUAUAUGCCCUCCGUCCUUGACCCAAACGCUGUUAUGCUGUGCAUGUCUCUAGAUAAAAUUGAGCUGUCCUACUCCCAACUAACGGAAGUCAGUUGAUAGAACCGCUGGUGGCACCUGGAACUCUACAUAUUACAUCACAGAAAAACUCAGACUAGUAGUGUCUUGGAACAUGUUUUGUUCAUAGUAAGUGUGAAAAUAAAGGAAAACCUCUUUUAAAAUGGAGUCAUGAAACCCUGAAGGGGGACCUCUCACGUACAUACCACUCACUGCUGCCUGCUUAACUGGCAGGAAGAUGGACGAUAAGAAUUAUUUUAACGAGGCCUAUUUGUAUAAAAUUCUCUCAGUCUCAACUUCUUAUCCGUGAUGAUAAGAAUGUAACUUUUCUGCUGGUGCAACGGAGGACAUCUUCACCUAAGAAUUUCAUCUCCUGCUUUUAAGAAAAGGAAGGAAGAUCCGACCCUGCCGCAGCGACAAUGCAUUAUCACAACCUCACACUCUUGCUCUUCUCCAAUGAACUUUUAUUCUAAAUAACCCUCCUUAAUUUCCUCCUAACACCUAAUAAAAACUAACUUUCCCCUUGUCUCUUCCAACUUGCCUAUGGUUCACCAUAGUCUGCACGUCCAGAAUUGCAAUUCCUCGGCUAUUCCCAAAUAAACUCAUUUUUUGAGCUUGCCCCCUAGACAGCUUCAUUUAGGUUGACAUAAGAGCUAAAGAUAGUUUUAUUCUCUAUUAACAUCACAACCAAAUACUUAAAUCACAACCAAGUACUUAAAAGCCUGACAUAAUUGUAGACUCAUAAGUGAAAUGUCACAUUAUCAUUUUCAAUAAAUCAGCAUCAAUUUAACAUUUUUGAGAGCCCCCCAAAUUCUCAGCACUCAAAUCCAAGACAAGAAAGAUAAAAAACAGUACGACUGCAUUCUGGUUAUCAUAUGAAUUAAAGUGGAGUGUGUGUGUGUGUGUGUGUGUUUUAAAGCCUUUUGUUCACCAGCUUCUUUCCCUAUCUUACACUGUACUCCCUAAGGACUGUGUCUAUCAUUUAACUUUCUCCAUUGAACGAUAAACUUCAGAAGGUCUGGCCAUUUUGGUUCUACGGGGUUUCUAUCUCUUGCGCUUUCCCAGAUCAUACCAUGUAUUUAAUAUGCAUCGACCCACCUGUGCAGAAAAGGGACCGUCUAGUCUCAUGCUUAAAUCAGUACUAUGUCACUAUCCAUCGAUCAAUAAGUUGUGCAUUCUCGGUGACAAGUGAAUGUUUUCUCUUUCAGCUGAAGUUUAAAGGAGGAGGGGAGUCGACUCCAAAACUGCACACUGGUGUAGCCCCAAAUGGAAAUACAGCGAAAGCUCGAGCGACCUCUGCCAGCGCAAACGAGUCCACCCCGGCUUCAGGAAACAAAGGAGUAUGUGGGGUUGCGGAUGACUGGCUUUGGGGCUCAUUCUUUUCACUACAGCGCCCCAGGAGCAGAAGGCAAGCCCAGGCUCCAGGGACCACGCAGUCCCGCUGGGGCUGAGAGCGUCUCCCCCAGGGUGUCCCGGACGCCCGGCAGGAAAGAGCGCCGCCGGGCCGCCGACCCCGGGCAUGCGCGGGCCGGGGGAAAAAGAAGGUCAGCUCCGGCCGCGGUUCAGUCGCAGCCCAUCUGGCCAACCGAGAAGCCGGACAUUCUGACGCGCGAAGAAAGGAGACCGGCGGGGGAGGGGCAGGGUGACAGGUCCCUCGAGGGGAGCGCGGGCGCGCGGAGCCGGCCCGAGGGUGGUGCGCGGCCGCGUUGUCGCGCACGCGCCUGAGCGCGCGCCCGGUGGGGCGGGCCGCGAGCCCUCUCUCCCUUCCGCCUGCGACGCGCGUUGUCGGUCGAGCCGGUGUAUGUGCGGUAAUAACAUGUCUGCCCCGCUUCCCGCCAUCAUCCCCGCCGCCCGGAAGGCCACUGCUGCGGUGAGUGGCGGCAGCCGGGGCUCGGAGGGGACCCUCGGCCCGCUGCUCACCACUGCCCCUCGCGCGGGGUUGGCGUCGCGGACCGCCUGGCGGCCGGUGAUUUUCCUUCAUGGAUUGGGAGAUACAGGAAUUUCCUCUCAUCAUCGUGAAUUCGUCAUUUUUCAACUCCUGUUUCUGGAACGUAUUAAAAUUGCAAACUCCUCCUUGAGUUGCUGUGGGCAUUGGAUACCAGAGAUGGGUGGAAUGUUUGUAGAGAGUGUGCAACUGAGAGCUUUCCGGAGGAGUUAAAAUUUCAGGGCAAGUUGAGGAGAACAACUGGUUGAUUUUGAUAAGAGCAAUAAUCGCAAUGUGAGGUAUACGGCAUUCUGAAUGAAAGCUUAAUUAUGCCCUUAAGAGAAAAAAUCAGUUCAAGGGUAGGGGAGGCAACUCAAAGAUUUAUUUGGCAGUUUAUCAAACAGAUUUUGUUGUGCUAACUUGAGAUGUACAAUUUAUCUUUCAGUCAGGCUUUUCCUAUAUUGUGAAGUGUGUGUUUUUAAUUUAAAUUGUGAUUAUCUGUUUGAAACUUAGGUAAAACUGUAACAAAAUUGCAGAAUUAGAGGAAAACUGAAGAGAAACAAAUUUUGAGUAGGUGGUCAAAUAAACUAUUAAAUCUUCUUUAUAAGGGUGUGUUGGGCUAGAUUAAUUCUUCAAAGUGAUUCCUGAUAUUCUUUUAUGCCCUUUAAGUAGAGGUACAUGACAACACGGAAAAGAUUGUAGGACUCUUUCUGGCAAUGAGGUAGUCCUAUGAAAAUGACAGACUUAUAUUUUACUAUUUAUUUUCCUGAACAGGUUUAGAGAAGCUCUCUUUUAUAAUCAAACCCUUCUUGAUACUGAGAGCCGGGGAGGAACUUGCUACCCUGUCACUUGCCCAAUAAAGAGAGCUUCUAGGCCUGAAGAAUCAGUCCAAGAAAAAAAACUUCAGUGUAGAAAGGUUCUCUGUGGGCCCCCAUUUUGACAUAUUCUGUAGACUGAAGUUAAGAGUGAAAAUGAACAAUGUGAGAUUAAAACUACCAAGAGCAUCCAGGACAUCUUGACCGAGAAUUAAGUUUACAUAAAAAAUCAGCUGGCCAGCCCCAUGGCCGAUUGGUUAAGUUCAUGUGCUCCGCUCCGGUGACUCAGGGUUCACCGGUUCCGAUCCUGGGCGCAGACCUGCACGCUGCUCAUCAAGCCAUUCUGUGGCAGCAUCCCACGUGGAAGAAUUAGAAUGACUUACAACAAUUCAGGCGUGAGGAGGGGAGAAGUCCUAAGGCUCUGACAUUCAUACCGUGUCCCUGGUUCCAUUCUAAGCUAGGAAAUGCUAACUUUUAUGAGGUUCAUGUAGAAGAGUGAG